AUUGAACGCUGGCGGCAGGCCUAACACAUGCAAGUCGAGCGGAUGAAGGGAGCUUGCUCCUGGAUUCAGCGGCGGACGGGUGAGUAAUGCCUAGGAAUCUGCCUGGUAGUGGGGGAUAACGUCCGGAAACGGGCGCUAAUACCGCAUACGUCCUGAGGGAGAAAGUGGGGGAUCUUCGGACCUCACGCUAUCAGAUGAGCCUAGGUCGGAUUAGCUAGUUGGUGGGGUAAAGGCCUACCAAGGCGACGAUCCGUAACUGGUCUGAGAGGAUGAUCAGUCACCCUGGAACUGAGACACGGUCCAGACUCCUACGGGAGGCAGCAGUGGGGAAUAUUGGACGAUGGGCGAAAGCCUGAUCCAGCCAUGCCGCGUGUGUGAAGAAGGUCUUCGGAUUGUAAAACACUUUAAGUUGGGAGGAAGGGCAGUAAGUUAAUACCUUGCUGUUUUGACGUUACCAACAGAAUAAGCACCGGCUAACUUCGUG
rnacentral:rRNA from 1 species